rnacentral:tRNA from 4 species
GCCGAGAUGGUGAAAUUGGUAGACACGCUAGCAUGAGGUGCUAGUGCCUUAUGGUGUGGGGGUUCAAGUCCCCCUCUCGGCACCA